UCCAAAACAUAUGUGUGACAAUUUUUC
rnacentral:sRNA from 1 species